CCUACGGGAGGCAGCAGUGGGGAAUUUUGGACAAUGGGCGCAAGCCUGAUCCAGCCAUGCCGCGUGAGUGAAGAAGGCCUUCGGGUUGUAAAGCUCUUUCGGCCGGGAAGAAAUCGUGUUCUCUAACAUAGGACAUGGAUGACGGUACCGGACUAAGAAGCACCGGCUAACUACGUGCCAGCAGCCGCGGUAAUA
rnacentral:rRNA from 1 species